CCAGACUGGAGUGCAGUGGUGCAAUCUCGGCUCACUGCAACCUCCGCCUCCCGAGUUCAAGUGAUCCUCCUGCUUCAGCCUCCUGAGUAGCUGGGAUUACAGGGACGGUGGUGUCUGCUGUUCCGGGAUUGAGAGAGAUGAAGCACUUACUCACCUCAGUGACUGGUGUGCGCAGCCACUCCCUGUUCAGCUUGGUUGUGACCUCUGCUAGAAGCCCUCCCUGGCCUCCCUGUGCACUGAGCUGGUGGUUCCUCCUUUGCGCCCCAGGUACAUGCUCAGAUCUGUGUACCCUACACUUUGUCCUCCAGCUUCGUGUUUGGAUGUUCACAACUCCCAUGAGAAGGGCCCCCGAGAGCUGGCACAGUGCAUGUGUUUCCUCUCCAGACUUCUACAAACCUGGCACAUAAUUGUUUGCUGAAAGAUGGCAUGUUCCUAAAACAGAGGAAGUAGAACCGAAUAAAGCGAAAUCCAACUUCCCA
rnacentral:lncRNA from 1 species